rnacentral:rRNA from 1 species
UGCCAGCAGCCGCGGUAAGACGAAGGUGGCAAACGUUGCUCGGAAUUACUGGGCAUAAAGCGCGCGUAGGUGGCUCGAUAAGCGAGAGAUGAAAUCCCAUGGCUCACCCAUGGAACUGUCUUUCGAACUGUCUUGCUUGAGGGCGGGAGGGGGAAGCGGAAUUCCUGGUGUAGCGGUGAAAUGCGUAGAUAUCAGGAGGAACGCCGGUGGCGAAAGCGGCUUCCUGGCCCGAUCCUGACACUGAGGCGCGAAAGCUAGGGGAGCAAACAGGAUUAGAUA